UGUGUCUCUAUACAAAACUCUGUGGCUAGUAUUGUUUUAAGAUAAAUCAUAUAUUGAAUGCUGUGGUCCUUAUGGCAUUCACCCAAAUUAUUAUUUUUUUUCAUUACUUGAAAGGUUGAGGCAAGGAAGAAGAAAUGCUGGUGCAAAGAGUGGCUGUUGGUCCACAGGCCAGAUAAUGGACUGACAUACGUCAGGUGCAAGCAAAGAAAAUGGCUACAGGUUGAAACUAGGAGCAAAAUCGCUGUAAGCAGCCAAGUUGAUCAGAAUAGCCGGAGGACCACCGACAAGAGACUGGAUGGCUGUUAGAAAGAAAUGGAAUGAUUUGAAGGUCCAGACUCAGGCUACAGGAUAGGAGGAUCCAUACCAGCAUAGGAAACAUUUGAACUAGUCAAAGAUGCCUUGGCACUGCAGACAAAGUAUGGAGUCGGAGGACAAGAGACGGAGACGGGUCUCUUUUGCAGUUGGUUGGUGACAAAGAAGUUGCAUGUAGGCCUAUUGACUUAUUGGACACCUUGUGCGUUACUUUAAUGUACAAG